rnacentral:rRNA from 1 species
GUAUGACGUCUCCCCUAUAUGGCCAACCCGAAGGAAGGAACGUGUCAGAGACCUUUAUCCCACCGCCCAAACUGAUGCUGGCCUGCCUGCAGAAGAGUGCACCGGGCAAAAGCCCGGAUGAGCAACUGCAAGCAAGUCUGGCUGCAAGCGCUUCCCUU